CCUACGGGAGGCAGCAGUGGGGAAUAUUGGGCAAUGGGCGCAAGCCUGACCCAGCGACGCCGCGUGAACGAAGAAGGCUUUCGGGUUGUAAACUUCUUUUAGGAGGGAAGAGCAGAAGACGGUACCUCUUGAAUAAGCCACGGCUAAAUACGUGCCAGCAGGCGCGGUAAUACGUAGGUGGCAAGCGUUGUCCGGAUUUACUGGGUGUAAAGGGCGUGCAGCCGGGAAGACACGCCAGAUGUGAAAUCCCGGGGCUCAACCGCGGAACUGCAUUUGAAACUGUUUUUCUUGAGUACCGGAGAGGUCAGCGGAAUUCCUUGUGUAGCGGUGAAAUGCGUAGAUAUAAGGAAGAACACCAGUGGCGAAGGCGGAUGACUGGACGGCAACUGACGGUGAGGCGCGAAAGCGUGGGGAGCAAACAGGAUUAGAUACCCCGGUAGUC
rnacentral:rRNA from 1 species